rnacentral:rRNA from 1 species
AUUGAACGCUGGCGGCAGGCCUAACACAUGCAAGUCGAACGAGUGGCGGACGGGUGAGUAAUGUCUGGGAAACUGCCUGAUGGAGGGGGAUAACUACUGGAAACGGUAGCUAAUACCGCAUACCAUCGGAUGUGCCCAGAUGGGAUUAGCUAGUAGGUGGGGUAAAGGCUCACCUAGGCGACGAUCCCUAGCUGGUCUGAGAGGAUGACCAGCAACACUGGAACUGAGACCCGGUCCAGACUCCUACGGGAGUCAGCAGUGGUGAAUAUUGCACAAUGGGCGCAAGCCUGAUGCAGCCAUGCCGCGUGUAUGAAGAAGGCCUUCGGGUUGUAAGGUACAUACAGCGUGGAGGCGUUACCCGCAGAAGAAGCACCGGCUAACUCCGUGCCAGCAGCCGCGGUAAUUC